UUUAAGGAUUAAGUCCUUAACUCCUCAUCUCCUCUCCACCCCACGAUCAACAUCCUCUCCACCCUACGAUCAACAUCAUCACCAAACCACUUUCGAUCAAAAAAACUCUUGAGAGAGAGACGAAACCAAUGGCGCCUUCUUCCUCAAGCGGCCUCACCGAGGAAUCACAGUAGAAAUCACGGCCGAGGAAACUGAAGCCGACGCUGAUACUGGUGGUGGCCAGAGUUAGAGCGAAGACGGCGGCAAGACGCAGCCUGGCCUAGUCUUUAUCCCUCCGAAUAACAGAAAGGCGCCGCCACUUUCCAGAAAAUUUUGUUGGAUGUGUCGUUGUUAUCUACAUUGAUUUAGAUGUCUAUAUGUCUAAUUGGGUGACUAGAUGUGUCGUUGUUAUUGAAUCCUUAAAAAGUGUAGAACUUUUCAAGCACAAGUCGCUAUACAUUAAUGGCAAUCUGUCUAUUUAGUUUUUGUUUUGCAUAUAAGAAACAGAGGAGCCUUUAUUGUUUUUUGUUCUUGGACUUUGCUCUAUGUUUCUGCUUUGUUACUGUUAUCAUCACUACAUCAUAAAAUUUGUUCCUUUAAGUUUUCUUCACUUGCAUCUCUGUGGAUUAUCCCCUCUGCUGUGUAUCAUUGAGUUUUAGAUAUGCAGAGCCUUAAAGUCUCCGACUUUUGUUAAAUUAAUAAGCAGGAAAGUAAAUGAGGAAGAAGGUUGAGUGAUUGGUAAAUGAUCUUGAAGUUCUUAACUUUCUUUUUCUUUUUGGUGUGUAAGGAUUGUCAUCAAGCUCUUGUCUUAAGCAAGGGCCAAUGCCGAUGGACAACAUCCGCAUUACACCUGAAGCAACCUAUGAAGCUGUGAUUGCUGACUCUAAACUGUUCAUGGGUUCCUUGGAGAGGCUACACUCUCAAGUGGGUACUAAAUUCAUGGGAGAUGGGAAGAAGCAUGAGUGAAAAGGAAGGUGUAGCUUUCAGUAAAACUCAAUGGCAGGAGCUUGAGAGACAGAGGAAUAUAUACAAGUACAUGAUGGCUUCUCUUCCUGUUCCUUCUGAGCUUCUCACACCCUUCUCAAAGAACCCAUCACACACCAACCAUCAACAUGGUAAAAAUCUCCUUACCUUUCUACUUUUAUCUCUUCUUAUCAUGUUUGAUAAUUAAAAACCAUUGUCUUAAAGCUACUUUGUUGAUAACAACAUGGUACUAAUUAGAUUUGUCAUAUGUAGUUUAAAUUCCUAAGGACUCCAUGUUAGUAACA